rnacentral:rRNA from 1 species
GUUAUAAGAUCCCUCAAAGAUGAUGAGGUUAAUAGGUUCGAUGUGGAAGCAUGGUGACAUGUGGAGCUGACGAAUACUAAUCGAUCGAAGACUUAAUCAAA